GGUGAACGCUGGCGGCGGGCCUAAUACAUGCAAGUCGAGCGAACGGACGAGAAGCUCGUUCUCUUGAGGGUAGCGGGGGACGGGCGAGUAAGACAUAGAUAACCUACUUAUUUGACGGGGGGAAUAUCGGGGAAACACUGCUACUACUGGCUGAUACUUUCAACGGCAUGGAUCAAAAGUUAAUGAGGGCUUUGCUGACUGAUAUAGCUGGAGUCGGGUUGCAUUAGCUAGUUGGUAAGGUAACGGCAUACCAAGGCAACGAUGCGUAGCUGACCUGAGAGGGUGAUCGGCCACACUGGAACUGAGACACGGUCCAGACUCCUACGGGAGGCAGCAGUAGGGAAUCUUGCGCAAUGGGCGAAAGCCUGAUCGAGCCACGCCGCGUGAGUGAAGAAGGUCUUCGGAUUGUAAAGCUCUGUUAUUGGGGAAGAAAAGAAGUGUGAGUAUCUCUGCCCGUCUUGACGGUACCUAAACAGAAAGCCACGGCUAACUUCGUG
rnacentral:rRNA from 1 species